rnacentral:rRNA from 1 species
UUUUUCCUACGGGACGCAGCAGUGAGGAAUAUUGGUCAAUGGGCGGAAGCCUGAACCAGCCAAGUCGCGUGAGGGAAUAAGGCCCUACGGGUCGUAAACCUCUUUUGCCGGGGAGCAAGGGCCGGGACGCGUCCCGGCCCGGAGAGUACCCGGAGAAAAAGCAUCGGCUAACUCCGUGCCAGCAGCCGCGGUAAUACGGAGGAUGCGAGCGUUAUCCGGAUUUAUUGGGUUUAAAGGGUGCGUAAGCGGGCUUUUAAGUCAGCGGUAAAAAUUCGGGGCUCAACCCCGUCCGGCCGUUGAAACUG